rnacentral:rRNA from 1 species
UACAGAGGUGGCAAGCGUUGUUCGGAAUUACUGGGCGUAAAGGGCGCGUAGGCGGCCUUCUAAGUCGGACGUGAAAUCCCCAGGCUUAACUUGGGAACUGCGUCUGAUACUGGGAGGCUUGAAUGCGGGAGAGGGAUGUGGAAUUCCAGGUGUAGCGGUGAAAUGCGUAGAUAUCUGGAGGAACACCGGUGGCGAAGGCGGCAUCCUGGACCGACAUUGACGCUGAGGCGCGAAAGCUAGGGGAGCAAACGGG